UACAGAGGUCUCAAGCGUUGUUCGGAUUCAUUGGGCGUAAAGGGUGCGUAGGCGGCGCGGUAAGUCGGGUGUGAAAUCUCGGAGCUUAACUCCGAAACUGCAUUCGAUACUGCCGUGCUUGAGGACUGGAGAGGAGACUGGAAUUUACGGUGUAGCGGUGAAAUGCGUAGAUAUCAGGAGGAACACCGGUGGUGUAAACGGCUUUCUGGACCGUAACUGACGCUGAUGCACGAAAGCGUGGGUAGCAAACAGG
rnacentral:rRNA from 1 species